rnacentral:rRNA from 1 species
UACAGUGGGGGCAAGCGUUGUUCGGAAUUACUGGGCGUAAAGGGCUCGUAGGUGGCCAACUAAGUCAGACGUGAAAUCCCUGGGCUCAACCCAGGAACUGCACUCGAAACUUCCGGCCUUGAGUGGUGGAGAGGGUAGUGGAAUUCCUGGUGUAGAGGUGAAAUUCGUAGAUAUCAGGAGGAACACCGGUGGCGAAGGCGGCUACCUGGACACCAACUGACGCUGAGACGCGAAAGCGUGGGGAGCAAACAGG